AUUGAACGCUGGCGGCAUGCCUUACACAUGCAAGUCGAACGGCAGCACGGGGGCAACCCUGGUGGCGAGUGGCGAACGGGUGAGUAAUGCAUCGGAAUGUACCCAGUAGUGGGGGAUAACUAGUCGAAAGACUGGCUAAUACCGCAUACGCACUAUGGUGGAAAGCGGGGGAUCGCAAGACCUCGCGCUAUUGGAGCAGCCGAUGUCCGAUUAGGUAGUUGGUGGGGUAAAGGCCUACCAAGCCUGCGAUCGGUAACUGGUCUGAGAGGACGACCAGUCACACUGGGACUGAGACACGGCCCAGACUCCUACGGGAGGCAGCAGUGGGGAAUUUUGGACAAUGGGCGCAAGCCUGAUCCAGCAAUGCCGCGUGUGUGAAGAAGGCCUUCGGGUUGUAAAGCACUUUGUUCAGGAACGAAACAGUAGUCCGCUAAUACCGGCGCGAAUGACGGUACCUGAAGAAUAAGACACCGGCGUAACUACGUGCCAGCAG
rnacentral:rRNA from 1 species